rnacentral:rRNA from 1 species
AUUGAACGCUGGCGGCAGGCCUAACACAUGCAAGUCGAGCGAGCGGCGGACGGGUGAGUAAUGUAUGGGGAUCUGCCGGAUAGAGGGGGCUAACUACUGGAAACGGGGGCUAAUCCCGCUUACUAUCGGAGGAACCCAUAGGGGAUUAGCUAGUAGGUGGGGUAAAGGCUAACUUAGGGGACGAUCUCUAGCUGGUCUGAGAGGAUGAUCAGCCACACUGGGACGGAGACACGGCCCAGACUCCUACGGGAGGCAGCAGUGGGGAAUAUUGCACAAUGGGCGCAAGCCUGAUGCAGCCAUGCCGCGUGUAUGAAGAAGGCCUUAGGGUUGUAAAGUACUUUCAGCGGGGAGGCGUUACCCGCAGAAGAAGCACCGGCUAACUCCGUGCCAGCCGCCGCGGUAAUAC